UACCCGCUGAACUUAAGCAUAUUAAUAAGCGGAGGAAAAGAAACUAACAAGGAUUCCCCUAGUAACGGCGAGUGAAGCGGGAUGAGCUCAAGCUUAAAAUCUCUGUCACAAAUUUAUUUUGUGCGGCGAAUUGUAGUCUAUAGAGGCGUGAUCAGUGUAGGUACUUGAGAUAAGUUUCUUGAAAAAGAACAGCAUGGAGGGUGAAACUCCCGUUCAUACUUAAGUGGCUUGCACGUACGAUCCGUUUUCUUUGAGUCGCGUUGUUUGAGAAUGCAGCGCAAAGUAGGUGGUAAAUUCCAUCUAAAGCUAAAUAUUGGUGCGAGACCGAUAGCGAACAAGUACCGUGAGGGAAAGAUGAAAAGAACUCUGAAAAGAGAGUUAAAGAGUACCUGAAACUGCUGAAAGGGAACCGAAUCGUUUCUAGUGUCUAUAAUCUAUGACAUAUUCCAUUGGGAAGUGUGUGCGUGUGUAUACUAUGGCAGCGGCUUUUUUUAAGCUGCGCUUGGUGUGCGUGCUGUAUGUGCUAACUGGUGCCCUGUGUUAUAGUGGGACGUCAAGGUCAGUUUGUAUGCUGCGGGAAAUGGCUACUAGGGAGGUAGGGCUUACGCUUGCGUUUGUCUAUUAUAUCUUGGUAGUUGUGUCGUGGUUGAGACUGAGGUGUUCUACAACGUGCUUAUGAGUGGGUCUGUGUCUCCGUGUGCGCCGUGUGCAGAUAGCUUGCUAUGUGUGUGUGGUGGUGUGUGGAUUGAUGUGGGCUUUAACUUGUUGCCGUUCGGGACUUUGGCGAAAUAGAGCGAUUUGACCCGUCUUGAAACACGGACCAAGGAGUCUAACAUGUGUGCAAGUGUUAGGGUGUGGAAACCCCAGCGCGAAAUGAAAGUAAAGGAUAGUGCAAACUAUCUGAGGUAGGAAAUGUUAUGAACUUCGGUUUAUGGCGUGGCACUAUCGACCGAUCAUGAACCCUCGUGGUGAAAGAUUUGAGUUUGAGCACAUAUGUUGGUACCCGAAAGAUGGUGAACUAUGCCUGAGUAG
rnacentral:rRNA from 1 species